rnacentral:rRNA from 1 species
GAUGAACGCUAGCGGCAGGCUUAAUACAUGCAAGUCGUGGGGCAGCAUGAAUGUAGCAAUACAUUUGAUGGCGACCGGCAAACGGGUGCGGAACACGUACACAACCUUCCUAUAAGUGGGGAAUAGCCCAGAGAAAUUUGGAUUAAUACCCCGUAACAUAACGAUGUGGCAUCACAUUGUUAUUAUAGCUUCGGCGCUUAUUGAUGGGUGUGGGGCUGAUUAGAUGGUUGGCGGGGGAACGGCCACCAAGUCUACGAUCAGUAGCUGAUGUGGGGGCAGGAUCAGCCACACGGGCACGGGGACACGGGCCCGAAUCCUACGGGAGGCAGCAGGAAGGAAUAUUGGUCAAUGGACGCAAGUCUGAACCAGCCAUGCCGCGUGAAGGAUUAAGGUCCUCUGGAUUGUAAACUUCUUUUAUCUGGGACGAAAAAAGGCUAUUCUUAGUCACUUGACGGUACCAGAUGAAUAAGCACCGGCUAACUCCGUGCCAGCCGCCGCCGUAAAAC